rnacentral:rRNA from 1 species
AAAUUGAAGAGUUUGAUCAUGGCUCAGAUUGAACGCUGGCGGCAGGCCUAACACAUGCAAGUCGAACGGUAACAGGAAACAGCUUGCUGUUUCGCUGACGAGUGGCGGACGGGUGAGUAAUGUCUGGGAAACUGCCUGAUGGAGGGGGAUAACUACUGGAAACGGUAGCUAAUACCGCAUAACGUCGCAAGACCAAAGAGGGGGACCUUCGGGCCUCUUGCCAUCGGAUGUGCCCAGAUGGGAUUAGCUAGUAGGUGGGGUAACGGCUCACCUAGGCGACGAUCCCUAGCUGGUCUGAGAGGAUGACCAGCCACACUGGAACUGAGACACGGUCCAGACUCCUACGGGAGGCAGCAGUGGGGAAUAUUGCACAAUGGGCGCAAGCCUGAUGCAGCCAUGCCGCGUGUAUGAAGAAGGCCUUCGGGUUGUAAAGUACUUUCAGCGGGGAGGAAGGGAGUAAAGUUAAUACCUUUGCUCAUUGACGUUACCCGCAGAAGAAGCACCGGCUAACUCCGUGCCAGCAGCCGCGGUAAUACGGAGGGUGCAAGCGUUAAUCGGAAUUACUGGGCGUAAAGCGCACGCAGGCGGUUUGUUAAGUCAGAUGUGAAAUCCCCGGGCUCAACCUGGGAACUGCAUCUGAUACUGGCAAGCUUGAGUCUCGUAGAGGGGGGUAGAAUUCAAGGUGUAGCGGUGAAAUGCGUAGAGAUCUGGAGGAAUACCGGUGGCGAAGGCGGCCCCCUGGACGAAGACUGACGCUCAGGUGCGAAAGCGUGGGGAGCAAACAGGAUUAGAUACCCUGGUAGUCCACGCCGUAAACGAUGUCGACUUGGAGGUUGUGCCCUUGAGGCGUGGCUUCCGGAGCUAACGCGUUAAGUCGACCGCCUGGGGAGUACGGCCGCAAGGUUAAAACUCAAAUGAAUUGACGGGGGCCCGCACAAGCGGUGGAGCAUGUGGUUUAAUUCGAUGCAACGCGAAGAACCUUACCUGGUCUUGACAUCCACAGAACUUUCCAGAGAUGGAUUGGUGCCUUCGGGAACUGUGAGACAGGUGCUGCAUGGCUGUCGUCAGCUCGUGUUGUGAAAUGUUGGGUUAAGUCCCGCAACGAGCGCAACCCUUAUCCUUUGUUGCCAGCGGUCCGGCCGGGAACUCAAAGGAGACUGCCAGUGAUAAACUGGAGGAAGGUGGGGAUGACGUCAAGUCAUCAUGGCCCUUACGACCAGGGGCUACACGUGCUACAAUGGCGCAUACAAAGAGAAGCGACCUCGCGAGAGCAAGCGGACCUCAUAAAGUGCGUCGUAGUCCGGAUUGGAGUCUGCAACUCGACUCCAUGAAGUCGGAAUCGCUAGUAAUCGUGGAUCAGAAUGCCACGGUGAAUACGUUCCCGGGCCUUGUACACACCGCCCGUCACACCAUGGGAGUGGGUUGCAAAAGAAGUAGGUAGCUUAACCUUCGGGAGGGCGCUUACCACUUUGUGAUUCAUGACUGGGGUGAAGUCGUAACAAGGUAACCGUAGGGGAACCUGCGGUUGGAUCACCUCCUUACCUUAAAGAAGC